rnacentral:lncRNA from 1 species
UUCAUUUUGGGCAACAACGCAUGCUUUGUAAAUAACCUUUGAAUACUAAGCUUAACACUUAUCUGUUUAGCCUAUCAUUUAGGCUAAUAAUACCUUAAAUAUUGUAAGUAAAGAGAGAGAGUAGAACAGUACUAGAGACCAGCUGUUUAUGGCUAACUGAUCUUUUUGAUUUUUAUUCCAGAAUUCAAAAUACUACAAAAUUAUAAAAGGGAUUUUUACAAGGAUGGAGAAGGCUGCGGAGAUAUUCCAUGUGUUGGCUAAUGCCUACCCUUCCUAAACUCAAAUGAUACUUAUAUAAUGGAUCAGAUAACAACCAAACAAAACUAAAAUAGUAUAAUGACUAACAAAAUAAUUAUAAAUGUGGCCGACAAGAAAAAGAAAAGAUUCUACAUAAUUUACAUUUGGACAAACCACUUUAUAAAAGUGGAUUCCCUUCAAUAAUGGAUGGACCCGUGACUUUAUUAAAGUUGUUUAUAUUACCCCCAAUAAUUUAUGUUAUGGGAACUUCUUGUCUUACCUUUUUCCCUUCCCUUUGUCAUCUUUCUUUGCAGAGGAUUCUUCUGCAUUUUCCUUCAAUCUUGCAAGGAAGUCUUCUAUUUCAUCAAUAUUGAUGCCUGUGCUUGGGCUACUUUGAGCUUCACCUGCUGCACAAUCUUCUUCAUCAGUAAUGUUUUCUCUGGAGGUCAUUGAUAUAUCAUCUCCGAUUUCUGUUCCAAAAAUCUUUGGCAAAUCCUUUUUAAUUUCUUCAAAAUAUGAUGCAAUAAUUUCUCUUUUAGAGACUGCAC